CCUGACUUCGUUCAAUGGUAGGACGCUCGGCCGUGGACCGGGAGACGCGGUGUUUGAUUCACCCAGUCUGAA
rnacentral:tRNA from 3 species